rnacentral:tRNA from 1 species
GGGAAGGUGGCUCAGUGGUAGAGUGCUUGCCUUACAUGCAUGAGGCCCUGGGUUCAAUUCCUCAGCACCCCA